GGGGCUUUAGCUCAGCGGUAGAGCAAUUGGCUGCAGUCCAAUAGGUCACUAGUUCAAAUCUGGUAGGUCCCU
rnacentral:tRNA from 1 species